CAGGAUGGACCCGCGUCUGAUUAGCUAGUUGGUAAGGUAACGGCUUACCAAGGCGACGAUCAGUAGCCGACCUGAGAGGGUGAUCGGCCACAUUGGAACUGAGACACGGUCCAAACUCCUACGGGAGGCAGCAGUGGGGAAUAUUGCACAAUGGGCGAAAGCCUGAUGCAGCAACGCCGCGUGAGUGAUGAAGGCCUUCGGGUCGUAAAACUCUGUCCUCAAGGAAGAUAAUGACGGUACUUGAGGAGGAAGCCCCGGCUAACUACGUGCCAGCAGCCGCGGUAAUACGUAGGGGGCUAGCGUUAUCCGGAUUUACUGGGCGUAAAGGGUGCGUAGGCGGUCUUUCAAGUCAGGAGUGAAAGGCUACGGCUCAACCGUAGUAAGCUCUUGAAACUGGGAGACUUGAGUGCAGGAGAGGAGAGUGGAAUUCCUAGUGUAGCGGUGAAAUGCGUAGAUAUUAGGAGGAACACCAGUUGCGAAGGCGGCUCUCUGGACUGUAACUGACGCUGAGGCACGAAAGCGUGGGGAGCAAACAGGAUUAGAUACCCUGGUAGUCCACGCUGUAAACGAUGAGUACUAGGUGUCGGGGGUUACCCCCCUCGGUGCCGCAGCUAACGCAUUAAGUACUCCGCCUGGGAAG
rnacentral:rRNA from 1 species